GGCGGACGGGUGAGUAAUGUCUGGGAAACUGCCUGAUGGAGGGGGAGUAACUACUGGAAACGGUAGCUAAUACCGCAUAACGUCGCAAGACCAAGAGGGGGACCUUCGGGCCUCUUGCCAUCGGAUGUGCCCAGAUGGGAUUAGCUAGUAGGUGGGGUAACGGCUCACCUAGGCGACGAUCCCUAGCUGGUCUGAGAGGAUGACCAGCCACACUGGAACUGAGACACGGUCCAGACUCCUACGGGAGGCAGCAUG
rnacentral:rRNA from 1 species